UCUCAGGGGCACCAAGGGGCUGGGUCACGCAGCAUGGCCAGUAUCUGUGGGUGCUUCAGCCCCGGAGGACCCCUUUACUAUCGUCCACACUCUGCAGCCUUUCUUUCUUCCUGCAGCCUAACGCCCACAGCCACACCCAUGACCUGAAGGGCACGUCCUCUGAACUCUGGACUGAAAACCCACAUGCCUCCAGUACUCCCGAUCCAUCUGGAUGCUGCUCAGGCAAGACGCGGGUGAUGACUUCUCUCCUCUGGCUGCGCCACCUGGUUCCUCCUGCUCAGCUCCCCAACUCAGCAAGUGAUGUCACCACCAGCUCUGUAGCCCCCGGUAGAAAUCUCAGUUCCACUAAUGCAAAUGACUCACCCCCCCCCCCAAAUUGUUUUCAAAUUUUGUCAUCUCUACUCCCACAGCCGGAUCCCCGUCCUCUCUUUUCCAGAGUAAUGCAAUUAUCUUCUAACUGGUGUUUCUGCCUCUAGUCUCUUCCCUCCAUCUCAGUUUAAUGACUGUCACCAGAGAUUACUCUGAAGCACAAAUCAUGGUCCUGGCACAUUGAUGACCCCGGCUUUUUGGCAUGAAGUUCAACCUCCAUGACAUGGGAUGCAAAGUCUUUCUCAAAACCGGUCCCAGGUAGCCUAUCCGAUCUCAUCUCUUACCAGCCUUUUCUCCAUUCCCAUCAUCUUAACCUCAGCUGCUUACAGCCACUCCCCAAACUUGAGCGCAUUCUUCAGACCCUGUAAGCCAUUGUGUAGAGCGUUCCCUCUACCUGGAGCGACUGGUGAGAUUCCAGGUGUCUUCUAGACCCAACCCAAAUGCCCUCUCUUCUGAGAAGCUGUCUCGAUGCUUCCAGGCAGCGUUAGCCACUAAUUCUUUCUGCUCUUGCCCCCCAGUAAAGUGUUUAUCAAAGGCGAUUAUUUUCAUACACUGAACCGUGAAUGUCUGAAGGACGUAAACUGGAACUCACUCUCCACUGUAUCGGUCAACAAAUGUUGAACGAAUAAAGAACCAGAUGCAUAGA